UGGCGGACGGGUGAGUAAUGUCUGGGAAACUGCCUGAUGGAGGGGGAUAACUACUGGAAACGGUAGCUAAUACCGCAUAACGUCGCAAGACCAAAGAGGGGGACCUUCGGGCCUCUUGCCAUCGGAUGUGCCCAGAUGGGAUUAGCUAGUAGGUGGGGUAAAGGCUCACCUAGGCGACGAUCCCUAGCUGGUCUGAGAGGAUGACCAGCCACACUGGAACUGAGGCACGGCCCAA
rnacentral:rRNA from 1 species